CGAGGCGGGGGCCUCGCGAGCGGCGCGCGCUAUAAAAACCACACGCGGGGCGCGGCGGGAAUCUUCGGAAGGCAGACUUGCGGACACAUCACUGCUGUCCUUUCGUAACCACAGCGCCACCCUCCUGCUUGGCCCUAACCUUGCACAGGGAAAUAGACCCUGUCAGCCUCCUAGCAUCAUGGCAGAGCCUGCAGAGAGCAAGUCCACAGAGGAACUCCAGGACUGCAGAGCUGGAGGGCGUGUCAGUGACAAGACUUGAGAAGUUCGUGGGAGAGUAAUUCAGGAAAGGACACCGGAUACAUUCCAAGCUGAAGUAGGAUGGCGUGACUGCAGAGCAGAGCUAGAACUUGCGGACAAGAUGAGAACGAGAAUGCUGGGGGCGCCGAGCUCACGGGCAGCACCAGCAGCAGGUAUGUGCGCCGGCGCCGACGGGCAUCUGUGCAGCCAGACGGGCCGGGCGGUGCUGGGUGCUGGCUGUGGGGCAGCCCCUCCCCGCGGCCGUGCUGGGGAUCUGGGUUCUGAUCACCUCUGAGGACCCUGCUGCUCAUUUCUCUGUCUCCACCCGGGAGCCCCUCCCUCUGCUGGCGAGGACUUUGCUGGUUUUGGUUUUUAUCGCCAGGGUUUUUGUUGGGGCUCGGUGCCUGCACUAGGAAUCCACUGCCCCUGGAGGCUAUUUUUCCCUUUUGUUGCCCUUGUUUAUUGUUAUUGCUGUCCUUGCUGCAUAGGACAGAGAAAUCGAGAGGAAGGGAAAGACACCUGCAGAUCUGCUUCACCGCCUGUGAAGCGACUCCCCUGCAGGUGGGGAGCCAGGGGGCUCGAACAGGGAUCCUUACACUGACCCUUGCACUUUGCGCCACGUGCGCUUAACCCGCUGCGCUACCACCCAACUCCCUAAAGUGAGGACUCUGCACCACCACCCACCCACCUUGGUGAGAACUGAACCCACCCUGGGGCCUCAGUCCCAAGUUUAAGUUCCAACAAUCGGCUGAUUGCAAGGCCCUGCUUGUUCCAGAGCUGCGGGGCCGUUCUUGGGUUCAGGCCGCAGCUCUGCCACCCAUGGUUCUGAAGAUGAUGGACAGACUAUUGCCCCUCUGGGGCGAAGAAAAGAAGUGGGGGAUCAGGGCGUACUGUGGACUCGGCGUUCAGCAGAAGUCUGGUUUGCCCUGUUGCCAGGGUUGAACCUGGGAGCCUCGGGCCAUAGGUCUGUUUGCACAGCCGCAGUGCCGCCCACCAGCACUGGACUCUGGAGAAGACAGUCACCUCCCCCAGUCGUCCUUUGUUUGCGUCACAGCUUGUUCUUGUCUGGGGGUGCGCGCGUGUUUCAGAAAGUAAUCUCAGACCCGGACUGAGUAUUUAGCCCAAAACCAGCCGCAUCCCAUGCUCUGCGUGGCAGUAGAGCAGGACGGUUAGCGCUCUCGCUGGCCAUUUCUGCUGCCUACUGGGGGGGGGGGGCUGCUUGACCUGAGUGGAGGUGAGAAUUUCUGUGGAGGGUGGAUGCAGAUGAGGGGAGGGCAUUGCUGGUAAGGUGGGGAAGACCUGGGGGCUUGGACCCCUACCCCCCCCCCACUCAGGCAAGGGCAGCCUGCUGGGCACCUGUAACCUACCAGGCUCCUCACCGGACAGCUGGAGAUAGAGGGCCACACAUCUGCAUCCAGAGGUGGGUGGGUCGGGGCCUCUGAAGGCAGCUUUUCCUGGGGUGCAGCUGCUCCCGAAAAUCCUCCCUCCCAGAAGCUGGUGGCACAGGGACCCUGGCAAGGGUGGCAGUGACCUACAGCCACGCCUGACUGUCUGCCCUCCCCCAGCAGAAUUGAGAGCAAGCAACAGACUCCAGGACCGUGCCCAGGGCCCUGUGUGGGGCGCCUCAGGAAAGGAACUAUGGUGCCCCACAAAGCUUGAAGUCUCAGGAGAGGGGCCAGAGCCUCGAUGCCGGGACCUGUGCAAAGGUUUCGGAAGAAAAGGGACUGGGUGUUAAAGGAGGACUGCCAGGAAGGUCGCGCGGCAUCAGGAAGUGAAGCCCCAGAGCUGCUGGUUGGGCUUGUCUUGUGCCCCUGUGUUCAGAGGCCUCUGCCCUAGGAGUCAGGCUCCAGCCAAACAUUCUCGGUAAGAACAGAGGUGUGGACUUUACAUCUACGAUAAAUCAAGGGGGCUGGAGGAAGAGGUAGCGGGUGGAGUGAGUAUCCCGCCAUGUGCGUGGCCCGGGUUCGAGUCCUGGCACGGUGCAGGAGCCAGGGCAUGCAUCCCUGCGUCUGGGCUGGACCCGGGGCCUCUGCUCCGCACGUGAGCCUGGGGAGAAGGAGGGAUGCAGCCAGGCUUCCUGUGUUCGGGGUCCCUGAGACCUUCACCUGGGGCCCCCGUGAUGUCCAGCACUGGGCUCUGACCACCCCUGAGGACAUGGUGCCCCCCGGGACCUUUGACACCCGGGGGUCUGAGGGGCCCCGAUCUGCAGAGGUGCAUGUAGGGAUGGGAGUUGCUGCCCUCGGAGUCUGAUGUUUCUCCCUCUCUCCGUUCAGCACCACCUGAGACCAGGCCUCACCGCGGUGCGGCCAUCACAUUAAAG